GAUGAACGCUAGCUACAGGCUUAACACAUGCAAGUCGAGGGGAAACGGCAUCGAAAGCUUGCUUUUGAUGGGCGUCGACCGGCGCACGGGUGAGUAACGCGUAUCCAACCUGCCCAUCACUUGGGAAUAACCUUGCGAAAGUAAGACUAAUGCCCAAUGACAUCCCACGAAGGCAUCCGAAUGGGAUUAAAGAUUUAUCGGUGAUGGAUGGGGAUGCGUCUGAUUAGCUUGUUGGCGGGGUGACGGCCCACCAAGGCAACGAUCAGUAGGGGUUCUGAGAGGAAGGUCCCCCACAUGGGAACUGGGACACGGUCCAAACGCCUACGGGAGGCAGCAGUGUGGAAUAUUGGUCAACGGGCGAGAGCCUGAACCAGCCAAGUAGAGUGCAGGAUGACGGCCCUAUGGGUUGUAAACUGCUUUUAUAAGGGAAUAAAGUGGGUCACGUGUGACUUUUUGCAUGUACCUGAUGAAUAAGGACCGGCUAAUUCCGUG
rnacentral:rRNA from 1 species